GACGUAGGGCGCGAGCGUUGUCCGGAUUUAUUGGGCGUAAAGAGCUCGUAGGCGGUUUGUCGCGUCGUUCGUGAAAACUCACAGCUUAACUGUGGGCGUGCGGUCGAUACGGGCAUCACUGGAGUUCGGCAGGGGAGACUGGAAUUCCUGGUGUAGCGGUGAAAUGCGCAGAUAUCAGGAGGAACACCGGUGGCGAAGGCGGGUCUCUGGGCCGAUACUGACGCUGAGGAGCGAAAGCGUGGGGAGCGAACAGG
rnacentral:rRNA from 1 species